GAUGAACGCUGGCGGCGUGCCUAAUACACGCAAGUCGAGCGAACAGACGAGGAGCUUGCUCCUCUGACGUUAGCGGCGGACGGGUGAGUAACACGUGGAUAACCUACCUAUAAGACUGGGAUAACUUCGGGAAACCGGAGCUAAUACCGGAUAAUAUAUUGAACCGCAUGGUUCAAUAGUGAAAGACGGUUUUGCUGUCACUUAUAGAUGGAUCCGCGCCGCAUUAGCUAGUUGGUAAGGUAACGGCUUACCAAGGCAACGAUGCGUAGCCGACCUGAGAGGGUGAUCGGCCACACUGGAACUGAGACACGGUCCAGACUCCUACGGGAGGCAGCAGUAGGGAAUCUUCCGCAAUGGGCGAAAGCCUGACGGAGCAACGCCGCGUGAAUGAUGAAGGUCUUCGGAUCGUAAAACUCUGUUAUUAGGGAAGAACAAAUGUGUAAGUAACUAUGCACGUCUUGACGGUACCUAAUCAGAAAGCCACGGCUAACUACGUG
rnacentral:rRNA from 1 species